GUACCCUCAAGCUUUGCUUGGUGUUGGGCGUCUUUUGUCUUUGGCCUCGCCCAAAGACUCGCCUUAAAACGAUUGGCAGCCGGCCUACUGGUUUCGCAGCGCAGCACAUUUUUGCGCUUGCAAUCAGCAAAAAGGACGGCAAUCCAUCAAGACUACAUUUUUAC
rnacentral:misc_RNA from 1 species